CAGCCGCCGCGGGAAUACAGAGGGUGCGAGCGUUAAUCGGAUUUACUGGGCGUAAAGCGUGCUUAGGCGGCUUUUUAAGUCGGAUGUGAAAUCCCUGAGCUUAACUUAGGAAUUGCAUUCGAUACUGGGAAGCUAGAGUAUGGGAGAGGAUGGUAGAAUUCCAGGUGUAGCGGUGAAAUGCGUAGAGAUCUGGAGGAAUACCGAUGGCGAAGGCAGCCAUCUGGCCUAAUACUGACGCUGAGGUACGAAAGCAUGGGGAGCAAACAGGAUUAGAGACCCGAGUAGUCCCUGUCUCUUAUAC
rnacentral:rRNA from 1 species